GAUGAACGCUGGCGGCGUGCCUAAUACAUGCCAGUCGAGCGAACGGACGAGAAGCUUGCUUCUCUGAUGUUAGCGGCGGACGGGUGAGUAACACGUGGAUAACCUACCUAUAAGACUGGGAUAACUUCGGGAAACCGGAGCUAAUACCGGAUAAUAUUUUGAACCGCAUGGUUCAAAAGUGAAAGACGGUCUUGCUGUCACUUAUAGAUGGAUCCGCGCUGCAUUAGCUAGUUGGUAAGGUAACGGCUUACCAAGGCAACGAUGCAUAGCCGACCUGAGAGGGUGAGCGGCCACACUGGAAGUGAGACCCGGUCCAGACUCCUACGGGAGGCAGCAGUAGGGAAUCUUCCGCAAUGGGCGAAAGCCUGACGGAGAAACGCCGCGUGAGUGAUGAAGGUCUUCGGAUCGGAAAACUCUGUUAUUAGGGAAGAACAUAUGUGUAAGUAACUGUGCACAUCUUGACGGUAACUAAUCAGAAAGCCACGGCUAACUACGUG
rnacentral:rRNA from 1 species